rnacentral:tRNA from 1 species
GGUGUAGCUCAUUGGUAGAGAGCACUUUCCUAGCAGAUAUGAGGCCCUGGGUUCAAUUCUCAGCACC